UACAGAGAGUGCGAACGUUGUUCGGAAUUACUGGGCUUAAAGCGCACGUAGGCGGCGCCGCAAGUGCGGGGUGAAAUCCCACGGCUUACCCAUGGAGCUGCCUUGCAGACUGUGGUGCUAGAGGAUGGUAGGGGAGAGCGGAACUCCUGGUGGAGCGGUGAAAUGCGUAGAUAUCAGGAGGAACACCGGUGGCGAAGGCGGCUCUCUGGUCCAUGACUGACGCUGGAGGUGCGGAAAGCUAGGGGAGCAAACGGG
rnacentral:rRNA from 1 species